rnacentral:rRNA from 1 species
UACGGGGGGGGCAAGCGUUGUUCGGAAUUACUGGGCGUAAAGGGCUCGUAGGCGGCCAACUAAGUCAGACGUGAAAUCCCUCGGCUUAACCGGGGAACUGCGUCUGAUACUGGAUGGCUUGAGGUUGGGAGAGGGAUGCGGAAUUCCAGGUGUAGCGGUGUAAUGCGUAGAUAUCUGGAGGAACACCGGUGGCGAAGGCGGCAUCCUGGACCAAUUCUGACGCUGAGUGAGCGAAAGCGUGGGGAGCGAACAGG